rnacentral:rRNA from 1 species
ACACGUAGGAGGCAAACGUUAUCCGGAUUUACUGGGCGUAAAGCGCGUGUAGGUGGUACUGUAAGUAGGGCGUGAAAGCUCCUGGCUCAACUGGGAGAGGCCGUUCUAAACUACAGAACUAGAGGAUGGUAGAGGGAGGUGGAAUUCCAGGUGUAGCGGUGGAAAUGCGCAGAUAUCUGGAGGAACACCGGUGGCGAAGGCGGCCUCCUGGACCAUUCCUGACACUCAGACGCGAAAGCUAGGGUAGC